CCUACGGGAGGCAGCAGUGGGGAAUCUUCCGCAAUGGGCGAAAGCCUGAUGGAGCAAUGCCGCGUGAAUGAUGAAGGUCUUAUAGAUUGUAAAAUUCUUUUAUUUGGGAAGAAAACCUAAAGUAGGAAAUGACUUUCGUCUGACUGUCCCAUUUGAGUAAGUAUCGUCUAACUAUGUGCCAGCAGCCGCGGUAAUACAUAGGAUGCAAGCGUUAUCCGGAUUUACUGGGCGUAAAACGAGCGCAGGCGGGUUAACAAGUUUGGUAUGAAAGGCUUUUGCUUAACGAAAGUUUGUAUCAAAAACUGGUAAUCUAGAGUGUAGUAGAGAGGGCUGGAAUUCCAUGUGGAGCGGUGGAAUGCGUAGAUAUAUGGAAGAACACCAGUGGCGAAGGCGAGAACUUAGGCUAUAACUGACGCUUAGGCUCGAAAGUGUGGGGAGCAAAUAGGAUUAGAUACCCUUGUAGUC
rnacentral:rRNA from 1 species